rnacentral:rRNA from 1 species
ACAUAGAACAACAACAGGGAUGGCAGCUCACUACGGCAUGAUGGACGCUGAGGCACGAAAGCGUGCAGAUCAAGCUGGAUUAGAUGUCCCUGGUAGUCCACGCCCUAAACGAUGGAUACUCGACAUAUGCGAUACACUGUACGCAUCUGAGGCAAAGCGUUAACUAUCCCGCGAGUGAAGUAGCACGGCAAGGUUGAAACUCAAAGGAAGUGGCGGGGGUCAGCACAAGCGGUGGAGCAUGUGGUUUAAUUCGAUGAUACGCGAGGAACCUUAGGCUGGGCUAGAAUGCGAAUACGGCGUGGGUGAAAGCUCAUUUUGUCGCAAGACUCAGAUCGUAAGGUGGUUGUUGUCAGUCGUCAGCUCGAGAUGUGAGGUGAAGGGCUAAGUCGAGCGCCGAGCGCAACCCCUAUCACUAGCUGCCAUCAGGUAAUUCUCGGGACUCUACCGAAACUACCGUGGUAGGGGGUGAGGAAGGAGGGGAUUAUUUCAAGUCAUCAUGUCCUGGAUGCCCAGCACUACACACUUGCUGCAACGGAGAGUACAAAGGGCACAUACCGGACAACAGGAUACUAAUCCCAUAAAACUUGUGACAGUUGUAAUCGGGUUGUCCCCCUGGACUCCAAGAAGCUGGUAUUGGUAGUAAUCGUAUAUCACCAAUGAUACGGUGAAGGGGUUCCCGCACCUUGCCCACCCCACCCGUCAAGCCAUGGACGCCGGGAGUACAGAAACCAGGUAACCGCAAGGAGCCGCCUAGGGU